AUUGAACGCUGGCGGCAGGCCUAACACAUGCAAGUCGAGCGGAGCGGCGGAGGGGUGCGGAAUGCCAAGGAAUCUGCCAGGUAGUGGGGGAUAACGUCCGGAAACGGGAGCUAAUACUGCAUCCUCUCACAAGCGCCUAGGUCGGAUUAGCUAGAUGGAGGGGGAAAGGCCUACAAAGGCGACGAUCCGUAACUGGUCUGAGAGGAUGAGCAGUAACACUGGAACUGAGACACGGUCCAGACUCCUACGGGAGGCAGCAGUGGGGAAUAUUGGACAAUGGGCGAAAGCCUGAUCCAGCCAUGCCGCGUGUGUGAAGAAGGCCUUCGGAUUGUAAAGCACUUUAAGUUGGGAGGCGUUACCAACAGAAUAAGCACCGGCUAACUUCGUGCCAGCAGCCGCGGUAAUAC
rnacentral:rRNA from 1 species